UCUUAGCUAUUAUUAAAGAAAAUUUUCACAACUACCUACUAAGUGUAUAUCAUUUAUUAUCCGUUAACCCAAUAGUUACAUUUCACAAGUAAUUAUUAACUUUCCUCAGUCCAUUACGCAAAAGUAAAAUAAAGGACUUGGGGAUUUCGACUAGUUAUUAACCCUUAAUUUGAAAAUGUAUCUUUAAAGAUACAACUUUGAAAAAAUCUGUAACAUUAAAUAAUUGUAUUUUUUUGAAUCGAUCGAUUUAAUUAUAAAGUUUGACUCAUGACAUCACUAGGAAAAGUAAGUCUAUUGCAUUUUCAACAACUGGACAUCCCUAUUUACGUCAACCUGAAAAAAUGACGGACACGAAGAGCAACAAAGCUGUAUUACAACGAGCAAGAUCAAAGCGCAUUCUAGCGUUGAUUCCUGCAGGAAAUGCACGAUCGGACGAUAGUGCCACAACAGACAAUGAGGAAGAUAACACAUCUUUGCCAGUUUAUGGAAUACAACAUUCUCAUAAAGGGUGAUUUUUUUGCUGGUAUCUUUUUGGCAACACUGUCUUUGGCAGAUUACGCGUGAAUCGUGUCUUGUGUCAUUAUCAAACUUGUUCAGUUUGGUCUAUAAUUUAACCAUGAAUCGACUUACGAACGAACAACGCUUGCAAAUUAUUGAAUUUUGCUAUCAAAAUGCAUGCUCGGUUAAGAGAGUGCAUCGCGCACUUCUUCCAAUUUAUGUUUUUUUUUUUUAAAUGGAUGAAUUGGACAUGCCUGACAUGUGGUUUCAACAAGACGGUGCCACAUACCACACGGCACGCGAAACAAUGGCCCAAUUGAGAGCCGCCUUCGGUGAACAGUUUAUUUCACGUUUUGGGCCCGUCAAUUGGCCGCCUAGAUCGUGUGAUCUAACGCCUUUGGACUAUUUCUUGUGGAGCUAUGUUAAGGCUCAUGUCUACAGGGAUAAACCAGCAACGAUUGACGCAUUUAUUCGUAAUAUACCGGCUGAUAUGUUGGAGAGAGUGUGCCGAAAUUGGGCCUCGCGAAUGGGCCAUCUAAACCGGAGCCGCGGCCAGCAUUUGCAUGAAAUCAUCUUCAAACAUUAAAUUAUAUUGAUUGUUCUAUCGAUUCCAAUAAAGAUUUCAUCAAAUUUUUCAAA